rnacentral:lncRNA from 1 species
AAAGAGGGAUCAUGUUUUAUUACAGUGCCGGAAGUCACGGGAAAAGGGAGUAGACGCUGGUCAGGAGAACUGCUCAAAAGGAAUAUCAAGUAUAAUUCUUGAAUUUGAAACAUUGCUCUUAUCCAAGUUUACACAAUUUGGUGGCAAUCCUGUCCUUUUCUACUUUUAGUAAUAAUCAAAAUUGUUGAUGUAGGCAUAUCCAAG